rnacentral:lncRNA from 1 species
CACAUCACUCCUAAGCACAAGAAAUCUAUAUGCAACACAAUGAAAAGUAUAAACAAUAAAUAUGCAAUCAAUAGUUUUAGAAUCUAAUUUUUAUUUCUUUGGAUCAGGCAAUAUCAACUUAGCAAAACACCCCACACUUUCAAAUAUUUUAUAUUAGGUGCAUAUCGUUUCUACAAUUCAUAAGGGGUUUUUUCCCAUUUUCUUAUAGGAAAUUCUAUUUUGUAUAUAACAAGCUGAUAGAAUUGCUUCCCCCCACA